rnacentral:piRNA from 3 species
UCAAUUAAAAAGAUUUUAAUAUGACAGG